rnacentral:tRNA from 1 species
GCCCCGAUAGCUCAGCCGGAUAGAGCGACUCCCUCCUAAGGAGUAGGCCGCAGGUUCGAAUCCUGCUCGGGGCG